GACGAACGCUGGCGGCGCGCUUAACACAUGCAAGUCGAGCGAUGAAACUCUAACAGAGCCCUUCGGUGCGAAGAUAAAGUGGUUUAGCGGCGGACGGGUGAGUAACACGUGAGUAACCUGCCUUAGACAUUGGGAUAGCCUCUAGAAACCGGGAUUACUACCAAAUAAAAUCAUAAUGACACAUGUCAUAACGAUCAAAACUCCGGUGGUCUAAGAUGGACUCGCGUCCGAUUGGCUAGUUGGUAGAGUAUAAGCAUACCAAGGCGACGAUGGGUAGCCGGCAUGAGAGGGUGAACGGCCGCAAUGGAGCUGAGGAACAGACCAAACUCCGACGGGAGGGAGCAGUAGGGAAUAUUGCACAAUGGAGGGAAAUCUAAUGAAGCGACGCCGCGUGAACGAAGAAGGCUGUCGAGUCGUAAAUUUCUUUGAGAUGGGAAGAUAAUGACGGUAACAGAAGAAAAAGCCCCGGCUAACUACGUG
rnacentral:rRNA from 1 species